CGCGAAGAACCUUACCUGGGCUUGAACUAAGAGUGACGAAUCUAGAGAUAGAUUUUUCUUCGGACACUCUUGGAGGUGCUGCAUGGUUGUCGUCAGCUCGUGCCGUGAGGUGUCGGCUUAAGUGCCAUAACGAGCGCAACCCUUUUCCUUGGUUGCCAUCAGGUAAUGCUGGGCACUCCAGGGAUACUGCCAUCGUAAGAUGUGAGGAAGGUGGGGAUGACGUCAAAUCAGCACGGCCCUUACGUCCGGGGCUACACACGUGUUACAAUGGGGGGUACAGAAGGUCGCUACCUGGUGACAGGAUGCUAAUCUUAAAAACCUCUCUCAGUUCGGAUUGGAGUCUGCAACCCGACUCCAUGAAGCUGGAUUCGCUAGUAAUCGCGCAUCAGCCAUGGCGCGGUGAAUACGUUCCCGGGCCUUGUACACACCGCCCGUC
rnacentral:rRNA from 1 species